UCCAACAUAUCAAUUCACAUGAAUUUCACCACAAGGGUCACAAACACUUUCUUAAUCCUUGCUCAUGAAGAAUAUGCCCACACAUAAAUAACCCAAAAAAAAAAAACUCAUAAUAUUAAUUAUUUUAAAACCAUACACAAAAAAAGAAAGUUUCACAAGCACUAGAAACCUAAAAACCUUUCUUUAACUUAUUAAAAAGAGCACAACCAUAUACAUACCAAAAAAAAGAGUAUAUCGCCAAAAAGAAAAGAAAAGGUUUAAUUUGUGUUCCAAAUUUUUCAUGUAAUAGAUUUCUUACAUAAACUACCUUACAUGAACCUAAUUCCUAGGAUUUGAGGAGUGAUCUUGAUGACAACCCCGGAAAAACAUCGUCGGGUCCGUGGAUCUGGUGGAUUCUGCCGAGAUAAAUGGUCGCCUGCACUUGUCGCUGAUGGUGUGGGAAGGGUUCGUCGUCGCGCCUUCUCCCACCACGUCUAUUUCGGUCGCAAGGCCGGUCCAAGAGCUGUUCCGGCCCCACCCCCCCUUUCCACAUGUGAAUUCUCUCCUAUGCAAAUAGCUUAAUAAGUCAUGGGCUAUUAGGGCAAUAGCAUCAGUACCAUGAGGCUGCAUCAGCUAUUACCGUAUGAUGAUUUUUGUAUACUUGGGGUUGUGAGAAGGAAGCCAUAUUUGGAUUUUGGGAGAGAGAGAGAGAGAGAGAUGAUUUUUGGUGAAAGGGUAUGGGGUUUUAUAUUGUAUUUCAACGCAAGGUAGAGUGGAGGGGUUAGAAGUCUAUGACUCUUUUUUUGGUGAUGGGAAAGUUGGGUUCAACCACCUUCCUAUAUUGACCAGAAAAUACAUUCUUUUUUCUUUAGAAGUAUUUUGAGAAAAAAAUAAUAAUAUUACAAUUGCUUAUUGUAAUUAUUUGACCGUUUACAACUUCAUAUUCAUUUCAGAUUGCUUAAACCUUUGUUGUGAAAAAUCAAUACUAUUAUCUUUUCUAGUAGUUAAUUCAAAAUUAGUGUUUAAUUGCUAAUUAUGACAAUGGCGUAGUCGAAUUUAUAUGCAGCGGGGUUAAAAGAGCCAGAAUUUAAUGAUAAAUAAAGGGUUAAAAUUAUGAAUUUAUAAAAUUAUAGUAAAUGUACUAAUUUUUUAUGAGGUCAAAAUUAUAUUUAUAUAAAUAUAUUUAAAAAACUAGUAUAAUUUAUUUUAAUAGAAUUAAUUACCCAUUAACCCUCACGUGACCCCGCCUAUAAUUAUGUCUAUAAGUGUGUUAUGGAUAUUCUAUGAUAUUAAUAAUUACUUUAUACUUCAUGAUGGGGGGCCCUAUAUUAUCAAAAAUUUAUAAUUUAUCACUAAUGUUGGAGCUCAACACUUCAUAAUUUUAUUACUCAGUAGAGUCACAUCCUAUAUUAGUUUUUUUUUUUAUCGCUUUUAUGUUAUCGAAUUAUACAUAUAACGUUUUGAAUUACUUAAAAUUGAAACUGAAAAAGAAAAAAAAAAAGAAAAGAAAAUGUGAUGGCAACCCCCACUUUCUUCCACUAGAAUAGUGCUUGUAUACGUGGCUAGAGUCUGUUGACGAUUUAUCCACUUUUAUUUUUUUAUUGUAUUUUAUUUUUUUAUUUUUAUUGAGAUGGAGUUUACUUCAAAUAUCUUUAAAACGUAUAAAAAUAUUAAAUAAAAAAAUAGCCUAAUAGACCCAAAAAAGAGUAUGCACAUCACUAUCCUUAAUUAUACUCUCUCCCAUCGUCCCGUUUUAUGCCGCUAAAAUACUUUAUUUUUUUAUUUUUUGAUUAAAAAGAUAAAGUGGGGCCUGCAAAAAUCACUUGUGUUAUCUGGGAUAAUACAAAAAAUUGAAUUAUUUUAAGUCGAAUAAAAAACUCACCUCAAAUAAAUUGAUCACACCAAACACUUGCCAACACCUGGACUAUUUUAACCUCAAAUCACAAAAUAACUUGCCCAAAAUAAAAAGGUAGGGUAAUUCACUGACCUCUUCAUGAGAUUUUGAAUUUAAACCAAAAGUACCUAUUGAUUUUUGAAAAAUUAAACAUGACCCUCGGUUUAAAACGUGUAACAGAUUCUUCCAUUUUACAUGACUACCUCUGAUGUUAUGGGUUAAUACCAAGUAUCAAAAAGACAAAAAGAGUAACUUUGUUAUGAGUGCUUUGUGUAUUAUUCAUAACCUCGGGGGUGUCAGUGUAAAAUGGGAGAAUCUGUUACAAUUUCAAUCUCAGAAGAGUUAGUAUAAUUUUUUUUAAAUGUCAGGAGUGCUUUGUGUAUUAACUCAAAACUUUAGGGGAGGUCCAGUGUAUUUACCAAAAGGUCACUACUAUGUUGAAAUCCUAACUCUGACCCUCGCUAAAGUUGACCCAUGACUAAGGGGGAAAUGGACAUGUAAUGCCGUUGGUUUCAUUGAUUGGUCUCUCAUCCGAGUGUGACAACAAAAAUUAAAUAAUUAAGUUUUAUAAUAUUUUGUAGUGGACACGUGGUGGAUAAAUCUCAUAUUUUGGGUCUUCCUUGAUAUGAUGAGACGGAUGACCUAAACCACACUACUUGUCAAAUAAAAAAUAUAACGCAGUCAAAGUACUAGCUAACACAGGAGGAAAAAUAUAUCGCACACAAUCAAGAAAACAUUAUAUAUCUAUAUCUAUAUAAUAUAAAUAUUAUCACUACUUAUUUUGAAAUCUUAAAUCUAUUUAUCGUUAUUUAUGAUUUAAAUUUAUUUCAAUUAAUUUAACGGUUUCCUCCCCAAACUAUCAACUUCCUUCUUCUUAAAAGGUGUGGUACCCACAUAUUUUUAUCCAAUAGAUAAAAAAAGAUUUAAGAUGGACAUAUGUUUUUAGAACCCAUUAAAUUAUUUUUUAAUGUGACUCACAACAAAAAUAAAAACCAUAUUUUUUUUUAAUAAUUAUUUUUUUACUAUUUGAUUAAUUUUUUAUUUAUUGUUUAAGGUUAUUUUGACGAUACAAGUCUAAAAAUAUAAAAAAUUAGUUUAUUUGGAGUAAAAAUAAAUUUGUUUUAUUUUUAGUGAACUUUCUCUUAAUUAGAUAAAUCUUUAUAAUUUUAAACUCUUUUUCAUCCAGAGAGACCGAAAAAGUAUAAAAUAUUAAUUAAUCGAUUACAAAAUUACUAAGACAUAAAAGUAAAAAAUAAAGACGGAUAAAACAAUUACCCUUCAAUAUAAAAGAUGUUAUUGUCAUACAUCGUAUUUUUAUAUAUUUAUUGAAAUCAAUUUAUUCCAUGGUUGCAUAAAAAUAUUUGAGUAAAAAUAAAUAUUUAAAUAAUUUAUCUAAUAAAGGACAAAAAAAAAUUAUAAUCUACAACACACAUAUUUUUAACUUCCCAAACUACUAUCUAUAAUUAAUACAAAUUAUAAUUCAUUUGAUCCAAAACUAAUUUUUCGAUCUAUGGUUGAAAUCCUUUUAACUUAUCAAUUGCUGAGAUUUUAUCUGAGAUUAGUUUUUCUCUCGAAACAUCACUUUCUUCUUUCAAAUGGAGGAUCCAUAUAGUUUCUUAUCCAAUGGAUAAAAAAUAUCUAAUCUGGGUAUAGUUUUUGCCAUGAGAUCAUUUUUAGUUGGAUCCACACACAACAAAAAAUUAAACCUCUUUCUUUUUCCUUAUGUGUUUCAAACUAGAAUUUUUUUAAAAUUAUUAUACUUUGUAAUUUGUUCUUCAUUUGUGUAGUAAUGUCAUAUUUUUAUAGACUGCAUGUCUUGUAUCUUGUUAUUCUCACGUUUAUAUCUUAUCUAUUUUGAGAUUGUAAAACUACUAACAAGUACGCCUAAGGGUGGUGUAUUUUUUUUAGUAGUGUUGUCCGGGGGUACAGACAUUUCUAUUAUAUUAUACAAUCAUACUUUUUGUUGAAUCUGCAAAUCUACUCUUGCUAGUUACGAUUAACAUUUAUGGAGUUGAAUCCAACGGUAUGAUUGUCACUGGGAGAUUAUUUCUUUUCCUCUCAAACUAUUCAAUUUUUUGUCUCUCAAAAGGUAGACUGAAGACUUAAUAAGUUCUUAUCCCACUGGAUAAAAAAAAUUAAAAAAUGGCAUAUGAUUUAUUCCAUUGAAUUAUUUUUUAAUGUGACGCUACAUCAAAAAACUAAAAGCCUAUUUAUUUUCUCCUUAUUUCUCUUAAACUACAAACUUUUUUCAAAAGUAUUGUAGUUUUAAUUUGUUCUCUAUUUUGUAGUAAUGUUUCUAUGUUCAUAUAUGCAUGUAAUGUAUCUUUUAUCUGACGUUUAUAUUUUAUCUGUUUUUUCAAUUGUAAAAUAUAUGAGUAACCUUAAGAGUUGAUUUUUUUACUAGGGUCCGUGGCACGGACAAUUACUAUUGGUCGUAUAUAUAUAAUAUAAUAUAAUAUAAUAAAAUAAAAAUAGCUUUUUUUUACUAUCUAUGGUUGAAAUCCAUUUGAAUUAUCCAACAGCUGAGAUUUUCCCCUAAUUAUUUUUUUCCAAAAAUUAUCCUUCCUUCUUCUCAAAGGUGUUGAACUACAUAAAUUCCUUAUUCAAUAGACAAAAAUUUAGAGCGUCCAAAAAAAUUAAAAAUUGGUGAAUCGAUCGAACUGAAGCGNNNNNNNNNNNNNNNNNNNNNNNNNNNNNNNNNNNNNNNNNNNNNNNNNNNNNNNNNNNNNNNNNNNNNNNNNNNNNNNNNNNNNNNNNNNNNNNNNNNNAGGCAAGGCAUCGCAGGUUAGUCGCUCAGGAGGUCAAGUUACCCACGCAGCUGCAGAACCGUCGCGGGUGUCUAUUCUUCUUCUCGAUUUCCUCUCCUCUUUUCGUAUAACAACCACCCACAUCCUCCUUUACACUUCAUUUUUCUUUACUCUCUCUCUUUUUUCUUUUUAGUUGUUAUUUUAUUAUUAUAUUUUUUGUCAUCUUCUCUUUCAAAUUAAAAAAGAAAGGGUAAAUUUCACUAACCUCCCCUGAAGUUUGUGACAAAUACAAACAACUCCUUUGUAGUUUUUAAAACAAUAUUGACAUCUCUUACUUUAAAAUUAUUAAUAAGAUUUUCCCGUAGAAUUAAAAUGAUAAG
rnacentral:lncRNA from 1 species